CCUACGGGAGGCAGCAGUAGGGAAUAUUGCUCAAUGGGGGAAACCCUGAAGCAGCAACGCCGCGUGGAGGAUGAAGGUUUUCGGAUUGUUAACUCCUUUUGUUAGAGAAGAUAAUGACGGUAUCUAACGAAUAAGCACCGGCUAACUCCGUGCCAGCAGCCGCGGUAAUACGGCGGGUGCAAGCGUUACUCGGAAUCACUGGGCGUAAAGAGCGCGUAUGCGGGAUAGCAAGUCAGAUGUGAAAUCCUAUGGCUUAAACCUAGAACUGCAGUUGAAACUGGUAUUCUAGAGUAUGGGAGAGGUAGGCGGAAUUCGUGGUGUAGGGGUAAAAUGCGUAGAGAUCAAGAGGAAUACUGAUUGCGAAGGCGACCUGCUAGAACAUAACUGACGCUGAUGCGCGAAAGCGUGGGGAGCAAACAGGAUUAGAUACCCGAGUAGUC
rnacentral:rRNA from 1 species